AGUGAACGCUGGCGGUAGGCCUAACACAUGCAAGUCGAACGGCAGCACAGGAGAGCUUGCUCUCUGGGUGGCGAGUGGCGGACGGGUGAGGAAUACAUCGGAAUCUACUCUGUCGUGGGGGAUAACGUAGGGAAACUUACGCUAAUCCCGCAUACGACCUACGGGUGAAAGCAGGGGAUCUUCGGACCUUGCGCGAUUGAAUGAGCCGAUGUCGGAUUAGCUAGUUGGCGGGGUAAAGGCCCACCAAGGCGACGAACCGUAGCUGGCCUGAGAGGAUGAGCAGCCACACUGGAACUGAGACACGGUCCAGACUCCUACGGGAGGCAGCAGUGGGGAAUAUUGGACAAUGGGCGCAAGCCUGAUCCAGCCAUACCGCGUGGGUGAAGAAGGCCUUCGGGUUGUAAAGCCCUUUUGUUGGGAAAGAAAUCCAGCUGGCUAAUACCCGGCUGGGAUGACGGUACCCAAAGAAUAAGCACCGGCUAACUUCGUGCCAGCCGCCGCAGUAA
rnacentral:rRNA from 1 species